rnacentral:rRNA from 1 species
AUUGAACGCUGGCGGCAUGCCUUACACAUGCAAGUCGAACGGUAACGCGGGGCAACCUGGCGACGAGUGGCGAACGGGUGAGUAAUGUAUCGGAACGUGCCCAGUUGUGGGGGAUAACUGCUCGAAAGAGCAGCUAAUACCGCAUACGACCUGAGGGUGAAAGAGGGGGAUCGCAAGACCUCGCGCAAUUGGAGCGGCCGAUAUCAGAUUAGGUAGUUGGCGGGGUAAAGGCCCACCAAGCCAACGAUCUGUAGCUGGUCUGAGAGGACGACCAGCCACACUGGGACUGAGACACGGCCCAGACUCCUACGGGAGGCAGCAGUGGGGAAUUUUGGACAAUGGACGCAAGUCUGAUCCAGCCAUGCCGCGUGCGGGAAGAAGGCCUUCGGGUUGUAAACCGCUUUUGUCAGGGAAGAAAAGGGUGACUCUAAUACAGUUGCCUCAUGACGGUACCUGAAGAAUAAGCACCGGCUAACUACGUGCCAGCCGCCGCGGUAAGAC